UUUGAAACACCAGUUCUCGUAAGAUCACCGAACUUAAGCAAUGUUAGAUCUUGUCAGUACCUAAAUGGGUGACCGCUUUGGAAUACCAGGUGCU